rnacentral:rRNA from 1 species
CCCUUAGAUGAUUUGGGCUGCACGCGCGCUACACUGACCCUAACAAUGAGCAACUGUCUGGCCUGAGAUGGCUGGGUAGCCUUUUCAACCCAUGUCAUGAUUGGGCUAGAUUUUUGUAAGUCUUGAUCUCUAACGAGGAAUCCCUAGUAUGCGUGAAUCAUCAAUCCAUGCAGAUUAUGUCCCUGCCCUUUGUACACACCGCCCGCCGCUCCUACUGAUUGGGUGAUCCGGUGAGCUGUUCGGCCAUAGCAAUGUUUCUUGAGCGGGGCAAUGAAUGUUUCGCAAACCUUGCCACUUAGAGGAAGGAGAAGUCGUAACA